UCCCAGAGGCAGCCGCAGGUCCCAGAUGCAAGCGCACAGGGGAGGCUCGGAGUGUAUGGAUGGACAUAUUGAUGGAUGCAUGCAUGCAAAGAUGGAUGGAUGGUGCCCAAGGCCACCAGUUGCCACAGGAAAGUUCCUCUCUGGAUCUCCACAACAUGGUCCAGAGAAAAUGGUGAAACCCAGAAGAAUCCAGCGCCUCCACCUCCUCCUCCAUAUGAAUCACUAGGACUCUUUGCCAUGAAGAAGCAUAGGGAGACGAAGGACUGACAGGAUGCUGCUGGAGCCAAGCGUAGUGUCUUGUCUUCUGCUUGACUUUUCCACUCCAUUCCUGCACGUCACCCCAAUGCCCUCCUCUCUUCUUCUCCCUCUUCUUUUCUCUAUUCCUUUCUAUCUGUCUGCUUCACAUUUAUUGUUGAAUAAAAUCCCUGUUGUUGUCUUUGGUA